CCUACGGGGGGCAGCAGUGAGGAAUAUUGGUCAAUGGACGAGAGUCUGAACCAGCCAAGUAGCGUGAAGGAUGACUGCCCUAUGGGUUGUAAACUUCUUUUAUAUGGGAAUAAAAUGUUCCACGUGUGGGAUUUUGUAUGUACCAUAUGAAUAAGGAUCGGCUAACUCCGUGCCAGCAGCCGCGGUAAUACGGAGGAUCCGAGCGUUAUCCGGAUUUAUUGGGUUUAAAGGGAGCGUAGGUGGAUUGUUAAGUCAGUUGUGAAAGUUUGCGGCUCAACCGUAGAAUUGCAGUUGAAACUGGCAGUCGUGAGUACAGGAGAGGUGAGCGGAAUUCGUGGUGUAGCGGUGAAAUGCGUAGAUAUCACGAAGAACUCCGGUUGCGAAGGCAGCUCACUGGACAGCAACUGACGCUGAGGCUCGAAAGUGAGGGGAUCAAACAGGAUUAGAUACCCCUGUAGUC
rnacentral:rRNA from 1 species